CACGCACGCAUGCACACACCCCACACAGAUCUGUGCAGAUGCCUCCAAAGGAAUGUUCAAGAAGCCAGGACCACCAGGCGCCUCAGGGAGGGAGCUGGGGCAGGAAGGAGGGGCGCCACGGGAGCUGGUUUUAUUUGUGCCAUUUUGUACCCCUGGGGUUUCUUCCCCUCUGGCUCCCCACCCCGCCUUCCUUCAACAUCCAUCCAUUGUCUAUUCAAAAACAUGAUUCUAUACAUUUACGCAUCAAUUCGUUUCCAAGAAAUGAAGUGUGUGCCCCGAGCUCCCCUCCGUUCCCCGAACCAGGGCCCUCCUUUCUGGCCUCCGCAACCUCCGCCCGCGGUCAGGCCACUCACUCCCCUAGACGCCCAGGCUGGGCACCCAGGAGGCUGCUUCCACCUGGAGCUCUCCCUGGAGCUGGGCCUCGAAGAGGAGCAAAAGUCCGCGCUUCCCCCAGAGCUGUGAGCAGAUGCACCCCGAAACCGAGUACACCGGGGUGGGGCACCCCGGCUCCGCCACGACCCACCCCAAGCUGCAGGGGAGCCGCUGGCCUGCCGGCGGGGGCGGGCGCCACCUGCUGGGCAUAGCGGCCUCACGGUGCUGUUCACAGACGUGACAUCUUUAUAUGUCAGAGGAGCCCUUAAACCACAAACAUAAUCGUGCUUAAUGGAGAGAGAGUGUAACAUUGCCCCA